AUUGAACGCUGGCGGCAGGCCUAACACAUGCAAGUCGAACGGUAACAGGAAACAGCUUGCUGUUUCGCUGACGAGUGGCGGACGGGUGAGUAAUGUCUGGGAAACUGCCUGAUGGAGGGGGAUAACUACUGGAAACGGUAGCUAAUACCGCAUAACGUCGCAAGACCAAAGAGGGGGACCCUCGGGCCUCUUGCCAUCGGAUGUGCCCAGAUGGGAUUAGCUUGUUGGUGGGGUAACGGCUCACCAAGGCGACGAUCCCUAGCUGGUCUGAGAGGAUGACCAGCCACACUGGAACUGAGACACGGUCCAGACUCCUACGGGAGGCAGCAGUGGGGAAUAUUGCACAAUGGGCGCAAGCCUGAUGCAGCCAUGCUGCGUGUAUGAAGAAGGCCUUCGGGUUGUAAAGUACUUUCAGCGGGGAGGAAGGGAGUAAAGUUAAUACCUUUGCUCAUUGACGUUACCCGCAGAAGAAGCACCGGCUAACUCCGUG
rnacentral:rRNA from 1 species